rnacentral:rRNA from 1 species
UAUUAUUAAAAAUAUAAAUAAAAAUACUAAAGUAGUAGUAGUUAUGUUCUUUAAACUUAAAAAAUUUGGCGGUAUUUUAGUCUAUCCAGAGGAACCUGUUUUGUAAUCGAUAAUCCACGAUGGACCUUACUUAAGUUUGUAAUCAGUUUAUAUACCGUCGUUAUCAGAAUAUUUUAUAAGAAUAAAAAUAUUCAAUAAUUUUAAUUAAAAUUUAUAUCAGAUCAAGGUGUAGCUUAUAUUUAAGUUUUUAUGGGUUACAAUAAAUUUAUUUACAUGAAUAAAAUUAUGAAAAAAUUUUUGAAAGUGGAUUUGGUAGUAAAAUUAUAUAGAUUAAUAAUUUGAUUUUAGCUCUAAAAUAUGUACACAUCGCCCGUCGCUCUUAUUAUUAAGGUAAGAUAAGUCGUAACAUAGUAGAUGUACUGGAAAGUGUAUCUAGAAUGA